AAAAACAAACACAAUACAAACGCCAAAAUUAUUCAACAUUUCUCACCCCACACGAAGCAACUACACCGCCUACAACCCCGAAAAGUAUGCAAUUGAAAAUUUGGUAUUGAGUGAAAAUUCCACAAAAAAGCGCGUAAAGCAAAAUUCAAGAAACAAACGUAUACAAUAUGCAAUAUAAGCAAUGAUGAAAAUACAUAUAGUAGCGGUAGCGGGUAAAAUCAGUGAAGUGGGAAAAUGAAUUGAAUGCAGAGAAAAGGCAAAAUUGUGUACAACGAAUGAAAACGAAAAUCGCCUGCGCUGGCAAAGCAAAGUGUGUAUGCAGCAACUAAAAAUUUGUGUAUGCAUGUUUGCAUAUUUGCGUUUGCAUGUACAUACAUCCAAGUAAAUACACACUUACAUAUAUAGCCCAUAAUUGCAUGAGAGGAAAACCGAGGCAAAAGUAGCAGGAGACGCUGAAGAAGAACGCCUGUGGCGCAAGGCAAAUAUUGUAGUUACAAUGCAAAAAGGAUGUGGAAGAAAAAAGGGGGUUGGUUGGUUGGUUUGUUGGUUAGAUAUUUGUGCAUAAAGCGCUUUGUGCCGUGCGCCCUUUAACCUAACCCCUUUCACCGACAAACUAUCAUGCAACGUCAACUAACUACAACAGCACAGAGGCAAACAUUUGCAGCAAACUUGCCCAGCCAACCAACCGACCAACAAUCCAUCCACUCGUAUUGCAAUUGCAGAGAUUUUGCCCGCGGCGCAAACAUAACUCGAGAAGGAAAGAAAUAAUGAAUAUGAAAGAAAAGAAAAAGAGAAUAGAAGAAGAAAAAAAAAACAAUUUGCAUGUAAAUUAAUGCGCGCAUCUGCAUUAUUCAAGCGCCUGCAACAACAGCAAUAGAAUAACAACAAAUACAAUAACUGGUCUAGUUGCCAAACAACACAACACGCGCGGGAAUCAUAAAAGGAUAUUUGCACACAAACGCACACACAGGCAUAUAUUAUGAACUAAUAUGUGCUUUUCGAGCAAAUCAUAGUUAGUGUUCUAUGCAAGCCUUGCGAGCGUGUCGGUAAGGACAAACACCCCACCCCGCCUAGGACUGUGGCAACGCUAAAGCGCAUCAAAUGCACGCCGGCAAUAAGCUGCAACUGUUCCAUGCUGCAGUCGAAGGACUAUAUUUUUAAUUGAAUACCGCACGUUUCUAAGUGAACAUUGGCAGAAAUUGCAGAAAAAUAUAUUGAAAAUAAUACUUUGAAAACCAAAAAGUUUUAAAAAAUAUUUGGCAAGUGAAAGAAAUGGAAGUGCAGCAAAAUGUCGAUAAUACGAGCGCACUUGAAAAUCUUUUAUGGCAAACAACAAUAUUGUAAAACAACCACAAUUUUGGAAAGUUGAAUAAUGGCAAUAAAAAAACAUAUUUCGGCAAACAAAUUUCAAAAAAAUUGAAAACGAAAACAAAAGAAAAUUUAAUGGAAAUUUGUUGAAAUACUUUUUCCAAAUUGGCAAAACUGUGUUCGCAAAAACAAACGACAAAACAAAACGUAGCGACACGUUGUAACGUAAGCAACACGCAACAAGGAGGAGUAGUGUAGAGAAAAUAGCAACAAAACUGCAAAAUAAAAUUUGAGAAAAAAACGUAAACAAAUUGGAAACUUAUUCAAAAUUAUUGGUUUGGACUUGCAGCAAUACUAAUACACAACAACAGCAAUCACAAUAACGUUAACAACGGCAACAACAACAACUACUACUACACAG
rnacentral:lncRNA from 1 species